AUUCUUCUAAUCUUAUCAUAAUUAGUGACUGAGCUUCAUUUCAACUGAUGCUGUUACCUUAAUUUAUUUUGUGGUUGAAUUCCUUAACUUGGAUUUUGAAUUGUUAUAUUGGCGAGUUUCAGUCCAGAAGUCUGAUAUUGAAGAACGAGAAUAAGAGAUAUCGUCCACUUUUCUUCAGAAAGGAGGAUUUGGAAAAUACACUGAAAUCGGCAGCCCGUGAACAGAGCAGAUUAAAUCCCACUAUGAGACAAGGGGAUAUCCAGGUUGCCACUCUAGAGGACAUAAUAAAAGAAAUGAGGGAAAAUUCUACAUCGAGCUGGGAUGAUGUUAUUUUUAUACCUCCUGGAUUUGAUGUUUCUGACGACUCCAAUGAGCAGUAGGGUAAGCUGAGGAUCAUUCAUGUCAUGUUUUAUACUUCUAGGUAUGACACAGUUGUUUAGAUUUUGUGCAUACUACAAACUUCUGGGUGCAAAUUCUUGUAGUCUUCAAUACCAAAUGUUAUUGGAAUUUGCGUUUUCUA